rnacentral:rRNA from 1 species
UACGUAGGGUGCUAGCGUUGUUCGGAAUCAUUGGGCGUAAAGCGAGCGCAGGCGGUUUUGUAAGCCAGAUGUGAAAUCCCCGGGCUUAACCUGGGAAUGGCAUUUGGGACUGCAAGGCUGGAGUUUGGCAGAGGAGACUGGAAUUCCUGGUGUAGCAGUGAAAUGCGCAGAUAUCAGGAGGAACACCAAUGGCGAAGGCAGCUCGCUGGGACGGUACUGACGCUGAGACGCGAAAGCGUGGGGAGCAAACAGG